AUACGUAGGUCCCAAGCGUUGCGCGAUCUCACUGGGCGUAAAGCGUCCCCAGCCGGUCCGGUAAGCGGAUUGUCAAAACCCGCGGCUCAACCGCGGUAGGGCAACCCGAACUGCCGGACUUGAGGCAAGCCCAGGCAGGCGGAAUUCUCGGUGUAGCGGUGAAAUGCGUAGAUAUCGGGAGGAACACCAAAGGGGAAGCCAGCCUGCUGGGGCUGCCCUGACGGUCACGGACGAAAGCUGGGGGAGCAAACCGGAUUAGAAACCCUUGUAGUCC
rnacentral:rRNA from 1 species